GGCACCGCCGUACCCCGCGGGCAGGCAGGGGCACCCCGAGGGUGGGCAGGCACAGCUCCGUCCCUGAAAGCGCCCACGCUUGCACGGGGCUUGGAGCAGCCUGGUGUGGCUGGUGGGAGGUGUUCUUGCUUAGGAGCAAGGUGUACUUUGAGGUGCCCCCACCACCCAAACCAUUCUAUGGCUCUUAUUCUCUAAGAGUUUUCAAGAAUCCUUGGUGAAUAUUUCAUAGCCACAAAGAAAGUUUUCCCAAAGAAGGUAGACAAGCCCUGGAACAGCACCAAGAGCUUGUAGAGGUUGAGAAGGCCUCUCCAACCCAAGAGUUUUGUAGAGGUUGAGAAGGCCUCUCCAACCCAAGAGUUUUGUAGAGGUUGAGAAGGCCUCUCCAACCCAAGAGUUUUGUAGAGGUUGAGAAGGCCUCUCCAACCCAAGAGGUUGCAGAGGUUGAUGAUAACCAGAACUUGCCCACACAAAGCCCUCUGACGUGGUUUCAGAGCUGGCCUUGCUUUGAGUAAAGGCAGGUGAUAUCCAGACAUGCUUUCCUGCCUGAAUUGUUGCAGGAUUUUUUCCCUGUAUGUGAGUUUAAUGAGGACAGGUAAUUUUAGGAGAACUGGUGAUUUGGUCAUCAGAAAGAAA